GUCAUGUCUUAAAGCACCUCUUCCGGUGGGCGUUUCAGUGUUUAAUUUUGUUAGUUUUUAAGCCAAAAUGCGCCCGUUCUCCCUUUUCUAUCUACACACUGUGUCGGCAUGGAGAGCGAACAUAACUUCAGAGUGGGCGGAGCAACACUUCCUGUUUUGACAAUUCUCAGGUCGCCACAUAUCAGUUUCCACGGAGGAUUAGCUACCUGUUUCAAGUCGGGACACAGGGUGGACCACUCCUCUGUGCAUCAGUUGGCAAAUUAUCUGCGCUGCUGACUUGUCUGCAUACAAGAGGAUCCUCUGCAGGCCUACCUAUGGACUGGACUCUCACAUUAAAAAGUCGGGACCCAGGGUGGACCACUCCUCUAUGCAUCAGUCUGUGACGUCUUGUUGCUCUGACCCGUCUACAUACAAGUGGAUCCCUCCUGCCUAUGGACUGGACUCUAACUUAAUUAACCGUAUCCACUCGGCAUCCAUUGCAUCGGACACCCAGGGGGAGUGUGUGGGAUACGGGGGGUACUCACAUCUGCUGCCCCUUCCAAGGUUUCUCAUUGUUCCCAUUGGGUUGAGUUUUUUCUUGCCCAAAUGUGAAAUCAGAGCCGAGGAUGUUGCUGUGGUUUGUGCAGCCCUUUGAAGCAUUUGUUAUUAAGGGAUAUAUAUACAGUAAAUACACUUUGAUUGAUUGAUAAACUGUACAAAACAUAUUAAUUUUCAAAAAUGCUGUAGGACAAGGACAGAAUAUUUAAAACCUUUUUUUGUUUUAUACUUGAAUUUUACACAUCAGCAAUCAGAACAACUGGAGAAUAACAAACACACUGUUAAAUUUAGACCUCUCUUAACAGUGUCAUUCAAAACUGAGCAUGUUAUUUUGUGUAGGCAUAUCUAUUGCUGUGCAGGUCUAUGCAAUGGUGGGGCUUGAGAGUACUAAAUAUGCUAUAUGAAACUAAGUAAAGCUGUAUUAUAAAACAACCAUAGUCAAAAAGAUGAAUGAGGGCAGUAAAAGGUCAAAUAAAAAUGUGAAUAAAUACCUAGAUUUAUAUAUAGUAUUGACUUGGAAAAGACCCUAGGAUAAAUAUAAUCGAAUACACAAUUGGGCAAUACUAAUGCUUUGAACAUUUCUUGAAAAACAUCUCUCUAUCUUGAACUGAAUAAAAUAGACAAAUGUUUUUCUCACAAUCUGAAAUUAAAUCAGACUAAAUUUAUUCAGCAGGAAUGGGCAAAUUCCAGCUAUCUAUUGUGAGAUGCUUGUGGAAGUGUACCUAAAACACUUGACCCAAGUCAUAAAGUUUGAAGGCAAUGCUACCGAAUUCAUUUGACUUUGAAGUAAGCAAUAGAAAAAUAUUUAAAAUAAACUCUCUCUCUCUCAUCAUUGGAGUAUACAGUAAAUAUAAAUCAUUUUGGUAAUCCUAAAUGACCAAAAUGCGAGUGACCGGUUUCCUUUUUAGGGAUUAAGCUAUAUAGUUCUAGACUAAAAAACAUUGUAAACCAGGAUUAACUGAAAUGUUUUUAGACAUUGAUUAAAAUAGUCUCAGACUUGUCCUAGUUCGAGUUCAAUAAUCUGCUUUUUAAAAUGGGAGGCUAGAGCUAAUUCAUGACAACAAUCAAGACUUACGCUAAACCUGUACAGAUGCAGGUUUAAUUUAAAAGUAAGGCUGUAUUUCUUGGGGUGCAUGAUAAAUAUGGAUUACCUUAAUUACCUAAAACAGAAAUAUGUUUCAGAGACAAAAGUAAACUCAAUACAUUUGAUGAUACAGAUUUUUGAGACCAUCUUUGUACGUCCAAAGACAAAACAGUUGAAAUAUUUUGUUUGAGGGAAACACCUAUACAUCUUUCCAUACUUAUUUAUCACAUUUAGAUUUGUGUCAUAUGGAAACUUUCAUGGUGAAACAGUGGAUUUAUGUGGUGUGAGUGAAUCAACAGUUUAUAAAAGUGUGCAUGCACAAAGUCUGCAAAGUAAAAUGUGAACUGUGAAACGAUUA